rnacentral:rRNA from 1 species
GCUCAGGAUGAACGCUAGCUACAGGCUUAACACAUGCAAGUCGAGGGGUAGCAGGGUAGCAAUACCGCUGACGACCGGCGCACGGGUGAGUAACACGUAUCCAACCUUCCCAUAACUCGGAGAUAGCCUUUCGAAAGAAAGAUUAAUACCCGAUAGUACUUUUUCAAGGCAUCUUGAGAAAGUUAAAGAUUUAUUGGUUAUGGAUGGGGAUGCGUUCCAUUAGAUAGUUGGUGAGGUAACGGCUCACCAAGUCUUCGAUGGAUAGGGGUUCUGAGAGGAAGGUCCCCCACAUUGGUACUGAGGCACGGACCAAACUCCUACGGGAGGCAGCAGUGAGGAAUAUUGGUCAAUGGGCGAGAGCCUGAACCAGCCAAGUA